ACAGAUAGUCCCCACCUGAUCUGUUCUACUGAGUAUGUAGUUCUCUAUAUUGCUGCCCUUGGGGUUAGACUAGUUGCUGCUGCUACUUCACUGAAUACUGUCCUGAUGAACAGAUUGGAUAAGUGUUGUUUCAUGGCCAUCCUUCAGCCAGGAUCAGAAGCUGCUGAACUAGUUUGUUCCAUUCUCUAUGAUCUUUGCGUUGCUGACAAAUAUAAGAUCGAAGCAAGAGUCAAAGAAGGAAUAACUCCAUUACAUCACUAAAAUAGAUCAUACUAUGAAGGAAGCUAAAGCUUUUCCCCAGGCAUGGAACUUCUGAUCUGUCCUUUCAAUCAAUCAUUCAAUCAAUAAAGAUUUAUUAAGCAUCUA